GAAUCACUAGGGAAGGAUGCAUGGCGAGCACAGAGCAGAGUGUCUGUCUAAAUCAAUAAUCUUCUUUCCUGGAAAGUGGACUAAGGUUCCAUAGCUCCACGAAAGGACAUUAUCCCUUGCUAGACUCUCUCCUGCCGGAAGAUCGUCAGCUCGC